rnacentral:rRNA from 1 species
UGAACCUAAAUAUCCAGUAUGAGAAAGUCAUUAUUAUGAGUAUAUUAUUUUAUAGAGGUUAAAUACGAAUUUAAAAAUUUAUAUAUUCGUAUUAAUAGUGUGCAUUUUUUUCAUAAAAAGGACAUUGUAAUCUGUUAAUACUUUUGGCAUUUAAUUUAUUAAUUAAUUGAUAUAUUAUUUUUAUCAUAAAGAGUCAUGUAUAAGUUUACAUAUAAAUUAAGGCAAAUUAAUGCUUACAUAAUUUUUUGUAAGAUCGAUGAAUUUCUAGAUAAAUAGUUAACAGUAUUAAAAUAUAUUUUAAUGUUUUUAAUGCUUACAUAAUUUUUUAUAUAUAAUAUGUACAUGUACGAUAUAUAUAAUGCUUACAUAAUUAGCUUGCUUAUUGGACCUU